UAGCAAGUCGAGCGAAUCGACGGGAGCUUGCUCCCUGAGAUUAGCGGCGGACGGGUGAGUAACACGUGGGCAACCUGCCUAUAAGACUGGGAUAACUUCGGGAAACCGGAGCUAAUACCGGAUACGUUCUUUUCUCGCAUGAGAGAAGAUGGAAAGACGGUUUACGCUGUCACUUAUAGAUGGGCCCGCGGCGCAUUAGCUAGUUGGUGAGGUAAUGGCUCACCAAGGCGACGAUGCGUAGCCGACCUGAGAGGGUGAUCGGCCACACUGGGACUGAGACACGGCCCAGACUCCUACGGGAGGCAGCAGUAGGGAAUCUUCCGCAAUGGACGAAAGUCUGACGGAGCAACGCCGCGUGAACGAAGAAGGCCUUCGGGUCGUAAAGUUCUGUUGUUAGGGAAGAACAAGUACCUAGAGUAACUGCUGGUACCU
rnacentral:rRNA from 1 species